rnacentral:rRNA from 1 species
CGCCUAACACAUGCAAGUCGAACGAAGUAGCAAUACUUAGUGGCAGACGGGUGAGUAACAUGUAGGUAUCUACCCUUUGGCCUGGAAUAACACGAGGAAACUUGUGCUAAUACUGGAUAAGUCUUUACGGAGAAAGCUUUAUGCACCAUUGGAUGAGCCUGCACUUGAUUAGUUUGUUGGUGGGGUAAUGGCCUACCAAGACUUUGAUCAAUAGCUGAUUUGAGAGGAUGAUCAGCCACAUUGGGACUGAGACACGGCCCAAACUCCUACGGGAGGCAGCAGUGGGGAAUCUUGCACAAUGGAGGAAACUCUGAUGCAGCGAUGCCGCGUGAGUGAAGAAGGCCUUUGGGUUGUAAAGCUCUUUCGUCGGGGAAGAAAAUGACUGUACCCGAAUAAGAAGGUCCGGCUAACUUCGUGCCAGCAGCCGCGGUAAUACGAAGGGACCUAGCGUAGUUCGGAAUUACUGGGCUUAAAGAGUUCGUAGGUGGUUGAAAAAGUUGGUGGUGAAAUCCCAGAGCUUAACUCUGGAACUGCCAUCAAAACUUUUCAGCUAGAGUAUGAUAGAGGAAAGCAGAAUUUCUAGUGUAGAGGUGAAAUUCGUAGAUAUUAGAAAGAAUACCAAUUGCGAAGGCAGCUUUCUGGAUCAUUACUGACGCUGAGGAACGAAAGCAUGGGUAGCGAAGAGGAUUAGAUACCCUCGUAGUCCAUGCCGUAAACGAUGUGUGUUAGACGUUGGAAAUUUAUUUUCAGUGUCGCAGUGAAAGCGAUAAACACACCGCCUGGGGAGUACGACC